rnacentral:rRNA from 1 species
CAGUCGCCACGGGAAUACGGAGGGUGCAAGCGUUAAUCGGAAUUACUGGGCGUAAAGCGCACGCAGGCGGUCUGUCAAGUCAGAUGUGAAAUCCCCGGGCUUAACCUGGGAACUGCAUUUGAAACUGUCAGGCUGGAGUCUUGUAGAGGGGGGUGGAAUUCCAGGUGUAGCGGUGAAAUGCGUAGAGAUCUGGAGGAAUACCGGUGGCGAAGGCGGCCCCCUGGACAAAGACUGACGCUCAGGUGCGAAAGCGUGGGGAGCAAACAGGAUUAGAUACCCCUGUAGUCCCUGUCUCUUAUAC